AGUGCGCCUACUGUUCUGGACAAUCUGAUAGCUCAAGUCACGGUGCGGAGUACUCCACAGCAAAGUUUGAUACCUGCCUACUUGAGAUUUAGUAACUUUUAAAACUAUGACCAUAGAGAAACCAUCAAAGAUUACAGCAAAGAGUUGUAUGAUUAAAGUCUUUAUUCAGCACUGUCAAUACUGUUUUUAUAAAACAUACUCUUGAUUCUCGCGCUGCAACUGCACUGAAUUAGUAGCCACGUGUAUCGGAAUACCUGCAUUUUUAUUAUUAGCAGUUCGUCAUGUCUAUUUUAAUUUCGAUAAAUAUUUCACUUUCUCUGGUCAAAUGAGCAACAUGAAUUUCUGCAUGAGGCGGAAAUAAUGCGGUGCGACUCGAAGUCCGCCUACCCGAGGAGAGAUUUUGAUCAUUCUCUUUCGUGUAUCGUUUUUGACAUCCCUCUUUCUUUCCCGACACACACACACCGGCACUCAUGCUUAUUGUAAUUUAUUAGGUCUUUCUUAAAAGGGUCUUGGGGUUGGUUGAGCAUCGUUGAGUGUCAAGGGAAUGUGUGACGUUAACUUGUAUGGUACGUGCGUCUUGCUUACUACCGAGGAGAGAAAGUUGGAGAGACCAGCUCUCAAACUAUCAAGGAAGAUGUCGUUAACCUCUUCCAUAGUAUGGUACAAAUGCACACGACAAGUUGCACAGGUUGUAAACGUUUCUCAUUUUCAGGGGCCACUUUCUUUCAUUUGAGAAGCUAAGAAAUUCGUCAAACUGGCACACGUGGAGCUGACAAACAAAUGACAUGCACACAGUACAUUGCACACCAUCAGUAGCACUUUAUGUAUGUUCUGUUCCAAAUCUGUGAGUACUCCCCUUUUCAUAUUUAUACUGCCAUUUCAACUUUAAAGUACAUUUGGAUUAUUUUGUGCAUUUUCCAUGAGCUUUCUCAAUCGUCUUGUUUAAAGAGAUCAGGGAAAAUGUUUCCAGCUUAAUCCAUAUUGCUUUAAAUGGGUUUCUGUUUUUUUCGCUUCCCUCCGGAAAGUCAGCUGUUAAUUGAAAAUAAAUACUGGAAUGCAUUAUUUAUUUUGCCAUUUGUUAUUGUGUACUUUUGUCACGCCCUGGGGCCUGUUGCACAAAAGUAGAAUUAAGACAUCCGGGAUAAAUGACUCAGCUGAGCUCAAUGAAGCCAAAACAUGUGCGUCCAGGCUUAAUUGGUUGCACAAAGACCAAGCCAGGAUGAGCAGACACGGAUUCAUUAAGCCAGGUGAAACCAAUCCUGGAUAGGUGCGCGCUCACGGCUCACUCAAAUAGACCCCGCCACAGAUCACAGAUUAACUGAUUUACCAUGGCAACUAGAGCCGCGUACUUUUCCCCGUCGGAAGCACAAAUCCUCAUGGAGGCAUACGAGGAGGUAAAAUAUAUAAUUAAGAAGAAAGGCAACACCGCCACAGUGAUAAAGCAAAGAGAAAAAGCGUGGCAAAGUAUUGCAGACCGCCUGAAUGCAUUAAACAUGAACGGGCCAAAACGGACAUGGCAGCAGGUCAAAAUCAAAUACAAGAACAUUCUGCAGAAUGCAGUGAAAAAGAAUACCCACAGACAAGGCACGGGUGGUGGGUCACCAAAGGCUGACCUUACCCCAGCAGAGGACAUGGCCUUGGAGCUAAAUAAAGGCAGGCCCGUCUUAGAGGGGAUCCCUGGGGGAAAAGAGACGAGCAUAGGUUCCUCCCAAGAUGCCACCUGCUUCAUUCAAGUGUCUGGCAGCACUGUGUUCCUGUUAGAGCCACCAGCACAAGCACCAGACGAUGCUGAUCCAGGUGAAGGCCCCAGUGCAGCAGCAACAGCACAUGAUGGAGACGAUGAUGAUGAGGAGGAGACCAUCUCUCUGGAUUCCAGAAGGCAUGAGGACCCAGAUGCUAUACAGUGGGAAAACCAGCCUGGCAACAUAAGCUCACAAGCUAUCAGAAAGUUGUAUGGCAACCACCUCCGGCGCCAAAUAGAACUGGCAGACAUAGACAUUCAGUACAAGAAGAAAAAGAUGGAAAAUCUUGCACUGGAGUCCGAAAUAAAAAAGAGGACAAUUAGGAAACUGGACCUUGAAAUAAAAAAACUUGAGAGGGAGCUCCAAGAAGAUGACACAGCUCAAAAUAAAAAUUAGCACCAGGUGUGGCCACUAGCCUAUAUGAAGGCCCAAAAUUGUGUGUUCCUUUCUGCUCUGACAAUGGCAUGCCCAUUCGUGCGAGAUGUGGUGGAUGAAGAAGCACUUGUGCUGAGGAGAGCCUUCAGGCGAGAAAGGGUCUUCAGGGACCGGUUGGACCCACUGGCCUUCCCUGACGACCAUCUAUAUGAAAGAUACAGGUUUUCUGCAGAUGGCAUCAGGUAUCUAUGCAGACUACUGGGUCCCAGGAUUAAGCACCGCACUGCACGGAGCCAUGCACUGAGUGUGGAGCAAAUGGUUUGUGUGGCCUUGCGCUUUUUGCUAGUGGAGCCUUCCUGUACUCAGUGGGGGAUGCAGAACAGCUGAACAAGGCCACAAUUUGCCGCACAAUAAGGAGUGUGUGUCUGGCUAUCAAAGCAUUAGCAGAUGUCUUCAUCUCCUUCCCUGGCCACAGAAGACUCUGUGACAUCAAAGAGAAGUUCUAUAGGAUUGCAGGUAAGAGGAUCUACAAAUUACAGGACAACUGUUAACACAUAGUAGGAUACUCAUUACUUUGUGUGACAGGUUUCCCCAAUGUCAUUGGUGCAGUGGACUGCACACACAUAAGGAUAAAAGCCCCCUCAGGUGCCCAUGAGGCCGAUUUUGUGAAUAGGAAAUCCUUUCACAGCAUUAAUGUUCAGGUGAACAUAACUUUUUGAUAUUGUCCAUUGACGAACACUCUGCAUUGCCAGUGAUGUGCAUUGAUUGGUGUAAUAUUCCUCAUCUUAUGAUUUCAGAUGGUCUGCAAUGCUGACUGUGUGAUCAGCAAUGUUGUGGCAAAAUGGCCUGGCUCAGUCCAUGACUCCAGAAUCUUUCGGGCCUCUGAAAUCUAUCAGUGCCUAUCACAAGGUGAAUUCUCUGGUGUGUUGCUGGGAGACAGGGG